UACGAAGGGGGCUAGCGUUGUUCGGAAUUAUUGGGCGUAAAGAGCUCGUAGGCGGUUUGUCGCGUCGGCUGUGAAAACUCGGGACUCAACCCCGAGCCUGCAGUCGAUACGGGCAGACUGGAGUUCGGCAGGGGAGACUGGAAUUCCUGGUGUAGCGGUGAAAUGCGCAGAUAUCAGGAGGAACACCGGUGGCGAAGGCGGGUCUCUGGGCCGAUACUGACGCUGAGGAGCGAAAGCGUGGGGAGCGAACAGG
rnacentral:rRNA from 1 species